rfam:Methanolobus sp. T82-4 scaffold_20, whole genome shotgun sequence.
AUAAAUGAUGAACAACGGGUCUACUGAGGCUUGCCCGACGGGGUCGGCCUGUGAGGAACCGUUGGAGCACUGAUA